rnacentral:rRNA from 1 species
AGCAGUAGCCGCGGUAAUACGAAGGGUGCAAGCGUUACUCGGAAUCACUGGGCGUAAAGCGUGUGUAGGUGGUUGUUUAAGUCUGUCGUGAAAGCCCUGGGCUCAACCUGGGAAUUGCGAUGGAUACUGGGCGACUAGAGUGCGGUAGAGGAUAGUGGAAUUUCCGGUGUAGCAGUGAAAUGCGUAGAGAUCGGAAGGAACAUCUGUGGCGAAGGCGACUAUCUGGGCCAACACUGACACUGAGACACGAAAGCGUGGGGAGCAAACAGGAUUAGAUAUCCGCGUAGUCCCUGUCUCUUAUAC